GCUGCCUGUCGGGCCCGAGUGCCGGCUCUCACGUUUGCGGGUGCUGAGCCGUUCCCUAAAUGGGACCUGGACAUCACUUAUGCACUGAAGAGGCCAAUGUGAAACUUACAUUUUUCAUAGGCUGGUUAUGGAACUGGAAAACUUCAAGGAGAUAUAUGAGCAGACAUGCAUGUGAAUGAUGCAUUUCACGCAAAUCAGAAAAACUCAGUUUUGAACUCUAACUCAAAAGGUGGGGGAAAUGUGUGAUGGGCUUGCAGAAAGUGGGUAGCUAUUGAGGUUCUUU